ACGUUGGCGGCGUGCUUAACACAUGCAUGUCGAACGCGAAAGUAUUUCUUCGGAGAUACGAGUAGAGUGGCGGACGGGUGAGUAACGCGUAGGUAUCUACCUUUAAGUGGGGGACAGCCCCGGGAAACCGGGAUUAAUACCGCAUGUGGAACUUCGGUUCUAAAGAUGGCCUCUGUUUCAAGCUAUCGCUUAGAGAUGAGCCUGCGUCCUAUUAGCUAGUUGGUAAGGUAAUGGCUUACCAAGGCGAUGAUAGGUAGGCGGCUUUAACGAGUGGUCGCCCACACUGGGAUUGAGAUACGGCCCAGACUCCUACGGGAGGCAGCAGUCGAGAAUAGUCUACAAUGGGGGAAACCCUGAUAGUGCGACGCCGCGUGGAUGAAGAAGCAUUUCGGUGUGUAAAAUCCUUUUCUUUGUGAGCAAUGUUUGUAAGAUUAAUAGUUUUACGAAAGAGAUAUUAGCAAAGGAAUAAGCUCCGGCUAACUCCGUGCCAGCAGCCGCGGUAACACGGGGGGAGCAAGCGUUGUCCGGAAUUACUAGGCGUAAAGGGCAAGUAGGCGGAAUUGUAAGUCAGAUGUUAAAGGCACCGGCUCAACCGGUGUACGGCACUUGAUACUGUAAUUCUAGAGUAAGGUGGGGGAAGAUGGAAUUCCUGGUGUAGCGGUGGAAUGCGCAGAUAUCAGGAAGAACACCAGAGGCGAAGGCGAUCUUCUAUACCAUUACUGACGCUAAAUUGCGAAGGUGUGGGUAUCAAACAGGAUUAGAUACCCUGGUAGUCCACACAGUAAACGAUAUACACUAGGUGUUGGGGGAGAUAAUCUUUCAGUGCCGUAGCUAACGCGUUAAGUUGUCCGCCUGGGGAGUACGGCCGCAAGGUUAAAACUCAAAGGAAUUGACGGGGACCCGCACAAGCGGUGGAGCAUGUGGUUUAAUUCGAUGCAACGCGAAGAACCUUACCUGGUCUUGACAUACACGGAACUUUCCAGAGAUGGAUUGGUGCCUUCGGGAACCGUGAUACAGGUGCUGCAUGGCUGUCGUCAGCUCGUGUCGUGAGAUGUUGGGUUAAGUCCCGUAACGAGCGCAACCCCUAUCCUUAUUUGCCAGCACAUCAUGGUGGGAACUAUAAGGAGACUGCCGGUGAUAAACCGGAGGAAGGCGGGGACGACGUCAAGUCAUCAUGGCCCUUACGACCAGGGCUACACACGUGCUACAAUGGGAAGGACAAAGGGUUGCUAAGCCGCGAGGUGGUGCUAAUCUCAUAAACCUUUUCGUAGUCAGGAUCGGAGUCUGCAACUCGACUCCGUGAAGUCGGAAUCGCUAGUAAUCGUGGAUCAGAAUGCCACGGUGAAUACGUUCCCGGGUCUUGUACACACCGCCCGUCAUACCAUGGGAGUGGGUUGCACCAGAAGUAGCUAGUCUAACUGUUUACAGGGGACGGUUACCACGGUGUGAUUCAUGACUGGGGUAAAGUCGUAACAAGGUAACCA
rnacentral:rRNA from 1 species